rnacentral:rRNA from 1 species
AUGGAGGCCAUGCAAGCUCGCCUCGCCCUCGUCUUCCUCAUGUUCGUCGCGCUCGCGGGGGCACAGCCGGCGCCGGCGCCGGCGCCUGCCGACGUGGGUUGCAACGGCGUCUUCCUCACCUACACCCCCGAGGCCCACCAAAGGAUCAGGCCGUUCGUGGACCCCGCCGCCGCCGCGGCCGGCAGGCAGCCCUACUCCUUCAGCGCCAGCGCCACCGUCCUCAACAACGGCGUCCGCACGCUCCCCUCGUGGGCGCUGCUGGUCGCCUUCGCGCACGGCGAGAUUCUUGUCAGUCUCGACGGCGGCGUGCUCACCUUCGGGGACGACCUGCCGUACAACACCACGGCUGCCGGAGGCGGCGCGACGACCUUGUCUGGGAACCCGCAGACGGACCUCCUCACGCCGAUCGCCACAGCCGGCGACCUUACCAGGAUACAGGCGACGGUGAAGCUGGUCGGGACGCUGUUCGCCGGGCCAGAGCCGGUCGUGACGCUCCCGUCCGCGAUCUCGCUGGCCGACCCCGCGUACUCCUGCUUGCCUGUCGCCACCGCGCCGAGUGUCCUCUCCGCGUGCUGCGUGCUGAUUGCGCCAGACCAGCCCUCGGCCGUGCCGCCGGCGGCCGGGAACGCCUACCUCCCGCGCGUCACCGGCGACCUCGUCAUCACCUACGACGUGCUCCAGGCGCACGAGACCACGUACCUGGCGCUGGUGACGCUCGAGAACAACGCGCCGAUGGGCCGCCUCGACGGGUGGGAGCUGUCGUGGGAGUGGCGGCGCGGCGAGUUCAUCAACUCCAUCAGAGGCGCCUACCCGCGGGAGGUGGACACGAGGGGCUGCCUCUACGGCCCGCAGGGGCAGUACUACAAGGACCUCGACUUCUCCAAGGUGCUCAACUGCGAACGCCGGCCGGUGGUGCACGAUCUGCCGCCGUCGCGGCGCGACGACACGUCCCUCGGCCAGAUCGAGCACUGCUGCAGGAACGGCACCAUCCUGCCCAAGACCAUGGACGAGGCGCAGUCCAAGUCGGCGUUCCAGAUGGAGGUGUACAAGAUGCCGCCGGACCUGAACCGGACAGCCAGGCCGCACGCCCCGGCCAACUUCAGGGUCGCCGGCGCCUCGCCGCUCAACCAGGAAUACGCGUGCGGGCAGCCGGCGCUGGUGAGCCCCACGGAGUUCCCGGACCCGAGCGGGCUCGUCUCCACGACGCUCGCCGUCGCGACGUGGCAGGCGGUGUGCAACAUCACCGUUCAAGACGACGCCAGGCCGCCCAAGCCGCCGCAGUGCUGCGUGUCCUUCUCCGCCUUCUACAACGAGUCGGUGAUCCCCUGCAGCACCUGCGCGUGCGGCUGCCCCGCCCCGGCGGCGCCUACGACGACCUGCAGCACGACGGCGCCGGCGCUGCUCCUGCCGCCGCACGCGCUGCUGAUGCCGUUCGAGUGGCGGGCCAAGGAGACGCUCAAGUGGUAUCACGACGAGGAGCUGGGCGCGCCGCCGAACCCGAUGCCAUGCGGCGACAACUGCGGGGUGAGCGUGAACUGGCACGUGGCCACGGACGCGGCCGGCGGGUGGAGCGCGCGGGUGACGCUGUUCAACUGGGAGGAGGGCGCGGACAUGCGGGACUGGUUCGCCACCGUCGUCAUGGGCGACAAGGUGUACGGCGGGUUCGAGCAGGCCUACUCCUUCAACGCCACCGCCGUCGGGGACGGCGCCAUCUUCAUGCGGGGCAGGGAAGGCUUCGAGCUCCUGCUCAGGGAGAGCAACGUGAGCGGCGUGGACUACCCCGUGCCCGGGAAGCAGCAGUCCGUGCUCUCCUUCACCAAAAAGAAUGGCCCCGGUGACGUCGACGUGGUUGGCGGCGACGGGUUCCCGACCAAGGUCUUCUUCAACGGCGAGGAGUGCGCCAUGCCGCAGAUGAUUCCGAGCCAGGGGGCUGGCAUUCACGCGAGCCGUCGUGGUCUUCUCCUGAUCGACUACAUUUGA